AGACCGGCGCACGGGUGCGUAACGCGUAUGCAAUCUACCUUUUGCAGAGGGAUAGCCCAGAGAAAUUUGGAUUAAUACCUCAUAGUAUGUGAGGAUGGCAUCAUUUUCACAUUAAAGUCACAACGGCAAAAGAUGAGCAUGCGUCCCAUUAGCUAGUUGGUAAGGUAACGGCUUACCAAGGCUACGAUGGGUAGGGGUCCUGAGAGGGAGAUCCCCCACACUGGUACUGAGACACGGACCAGACUCCUACGGGAGGCAGCAGUGAGGAAUAUUGGACAAUGGGCGCAAGCCUGAUCCAGCCAUGCCGCGUGCAGGAUGACGGUCCUAUGGAUUGUAAACUGCUUUUGUACAGGAAGAAACCCUUUCACGUGUGGAAGAUUGACGGUACUGUAAGAAUAAGGAUCGGCUAACUCCGUG
rnacentral:rRNA from 1 species